AGUGAACGCUGGCGGUAGGCCUAACACAUGCAAGUCGAACGGCAGCACAGGAGAGCUUGCUCUCUGGGUGGCGAGUGGCGGACGGGUGAGGAAUACAUCGGAAUCUACUCUGUCGUGGGGGAUAACGUAGGGAAACUUACGCUAAUACCGCAUACGACCUACGGGUGAAAGCAGGGGAUCUUCGGACCUUGCGCGAUUGAAUGAGCCGAUGUCGGAUUAGCUAGUUGGCGGGGUAAAGGCCCACCAAGGCGACGAUCCGUGGCUGGUCUGAGAGGAUGAUCAGCCACACUGGAACGGGGACACGGUCCAGACUCCUACGGGAGGCAGCAGUGGGGAAUAUUGGACAAUGGGCGCAAGCCUGAUCCAGCCAUACCGCGUGGGUGAAGAAGGCCUUCGGGUUGUAAAGCCCUUUUGUUGGGAAAGAAAUCCAGCUGGCUAAUACCCGGUUGGGAUGACGGUACCCAAAGAAUAAGCACCGGCUAACUUCGUGCCAGCAGCCGCCGUAA
rnacentral:rRNA from 1 species